CUUAGCAGAGAUGCUUUGGUGCCUUCGGGAACUCUGAGACAGGUGCUGCAUGGCUGUCGUCAGCUCGUGUUGUGAAAUGUUGGGUUAAGUCCCGCAACGAGCGCAACCCUUAUCCUUUGUUGCCAGCGGCUCGGCCGGGAACUCAAAGGAGACUGCCGGUGAUAAACCGGAGGAAGGUGGGGAUGACGUCAAGUCAUCAUGGCCCUUACGGCCAGGGCUACACACGUGCUACAAUGGCGCAUACAAAGAGAAGCGACCUCGCGAGAGCAAGCGGACCUCAUAAAGUGCGUCGUAGUCCGGAUUGGAGUCUGCAACUCGACUCCAUGAAGUCGGAAUCGCUAGUAAUCGUAGAUCAGAAUGCUACGGUGAAUACGUUCCCGGGCCUUGUACACACCGCCCGUCACACCAUGGGAGUGGGUUGCAAAAGAAGUAGGUAGCUUAACCUUCGGGAGGGCGCUUACCACUUUGUGAUUCAUGACUGGGGUGAAGUCGUAACAAGGUAGGCGUAGCGAG
rnacentral:rRNA from 1 species